UGGGGAAUUUUGGACAAUGGGCGAAAGCCUGAUCCAGCAAUGCCGCGUGUGUGAAGAAGGCCUUCGGGUUGUAAAGCACUUUUGUCCGGAAAGAAAUCCUUGGCUCUAAUACAGUCGGGGGAUGACGGUACCGGAAGAAUAAGCACCGGCUAACUACGUGCCAGCAGCCGCGGUAAUACGUAGGGUGCAAGCGUUAAUCGGAAUUACUGGGCGUAAAGCGUGCGCAGGCGGUUUGCUAAGACCGAUGUGAAAUCCCCGGGCUCAACCUGGGAACUGCAUUGGUGACUGGCAGGCUAGAGUAUGGCAGAGGGGGGUAGAAUUCCACGUGUAGCAGUGAAAUGCGUAGAGAUGUGGAGGAAUACCGAUGGCGAAGGCAGCCCCCUGGGCCAAUACUGACGCUCAUGCACGAAAGCGUGGGGAGCAAACAGGAUUAGAUACCCUGGUAGUCCACGCCCUAAACGAUGUCAACUAGUUGUUGGGGAUUCAUUUCCUUAGUAACGUAGCUAACGCGUGAAGUUGACCGCCUGGGGAGUACGGUCGCAAGAUUAAACUCAAAGGAAUUGAC
rnacentral:rRNA from 1 species